CCCUUGUAGCUCCAGUCCUUCUAAGGAGAAUUUCUCUGGAAACCAUCUAAUAAAAAUGAUUACUUGGAUCCAUCUCCUCUUAACUCUUUCAGCUUUCAAAGGUGUUUUGUCAGACAUUUCUCUGGUAGAAAAUGGAGGAGACCUGAAAAGGCCUGGAGAUUCUCUUCGGCUUAUGUGUACAACAUCAGGCUUCAGUAUAGCCAGCUACUGGAUGAGCUGGGUCCGUCAGGCUCCAGGAAAGGGGCUCGAGUGGGUGUCCAGGGUUUCAGGAAGUACCACAUAUUAUGCAGAUUCUGUUAAAGGCCGAUUCACAACUUCCAUGGAUAUGUCCAAUCAGUGGAUUGAUCUGCGUAUGACAGGCCUGAAAGCUGAAGACACUGGAAUGUAUUACUGUGCGAGAGAUCACAGUGGUGCAGAGUGA